rnacentral:lncRNA from 1 species
AACUGACUCCCUAAACAAGGAGUGAAAUGGGGAAUGUAUCAUGUUAAAAGUGAGUAAAUAUUGUGGUAGUGGAGUACUAGGCUACUAGCCUCUCGAAUAGCUCAAAGCUGUUUUUCAGUUCCUUUUUACGCAUUAAUCUGUCCAGUUUCUAUAAACCAUCUUUCUUAUCUUAUUUUUAUCCAUGUAUAAUCAUACUUCUCUUUAAAGACUCAAAAUCACAACGUUAAAUUUUAAAGAGAAAACCAAGAGGUUGAAUUCCCUGUGAUUUUUAUUCACAAGGGAUUAUGGGGGAUCUUUAAUAAAAACAGUGCAAGUAUCUGUUUCAAGAUAUGUGGCUACAGUGGUUUCCUCAG